rnacentral:rRNA from 1 species
CUACGUGCCAGCAGCCGCGGUAAUACGUAGGUGGCAAGCGUUGUCCGGGAAUUAUUGGGCGUAAAGCGCGCGCAGGCGGUUUCUUAAGUCUGAUGUGAAAGCCCCCGGCUCAACCGGGGAGGGUCAUUGGAAACUGGGGAACUUGAGUGCAGAAGAGGAGAGUGGAAUUCCACGUGUAGCGGUGAAAUGCGUAGAGAUGUGGAGGAACACCAGUGGCGAAGGCGACUCUCUGGUCUGUAACUGACGCUGAGGCGCGAAAGCGUGGGGAGCGAACAGGAUUAGAUACCCUGGUAGUCCACGCCGUAAACGAUGAGUGCUAAGUGUUAGAGGGUUUCCGCCCUUUAGUGCUGCAGCAAACGCAUUAAGCACUCCGCCUGGGGAGUACGGUCGCAAGACUGAAACUCAAAGGAAUUGACGGGGGCCCGCACAAGCGGUGGAGCAUGUGGUUUAAUUCGAAGCAACGCGAAGAACCUUACCAGGUCUUGACAUCCUCUGACAACCCUAGAGAUAGGGCUUCCCCUUCGGGGGCAGAGUGACAGGUGGUGCAUGGUUGUCGUCAGCUCGUGUCGUGAGAUGUUGGGUUAAGUCCCGCAACGAGCGCAACCCUUGAUCUUAGUUGCCAGCAUUCAGUUGGGCACUCUAAGGUGACUGCCGGUGACAAACCGGAGGAAGGUGGGGAUGACGUCAAAUCAUCAUGCCCCUUAUGACCUGGGCUACACACGUGCUACAAUGGGCAGAACAAAGGGCAGCGAAGCCGCGAGGCUAAGCCAAUCCCACAAAUCUGUUCUCAGUUCGGAUCGCAGUCUGCAACUCGACUGCGUGAAGCUGGAAUCGCUAGUAAUCGCGGAUCAGCAUGCCGCGGUGAAUACGUUCCCAGGCCUUGUACACACCGCCCGUCACACCACGAGAGUUUGUAACACCCGAAGUCGGUGAGGUAACCUUUUGGAGCCAGCCGCCGAAGGUGGGACAGAUGAUUGGGGUGAAGUCGUAACAAGGUAACCAAU